UACCCGCAUCCGCUUCUUGCUACUACUCUCAGUCUCUACAGCAUCACAUUUUUCUCCAGACUGUUGGUUGUACUCUGCUUUAGAGCUUCCAUCACUAUCAUCCGGAUAUGGAGACACAUGCAGGAGUUGUACGCCGCAUCCUUUG
rnacentral:sRNA from 1 species